UACGUAGGGUGCAGGCGUUAAUCGGAAUUACUGGGCGUAAAGCGUGCGCAGGCGGUUUCUUAAGUCAGAUGUGAAAGCCCCGGGCUUAACCUGGGAACUGCGUUUGAAACUGGGAGACUUGAGUGUGGCAGAGGGGGGUGGAAUUCCACGUGUAGCAGUGAAAUGCGUAGAUAUGUGGAGGAACACCGAUGGCGAAGGCAGCCCCCUGGGCCGUAACUGACGCUGAGGAGCGAAAGCGUGGGGAGCGAACAGG
rnacentral:rRNA from 1 species